GGAUAUGUGACUGAGCCUGGCUUAAGGUACUCGCCUGGAAAGCGAGCGCAGACCGAAAGGUCUGCCAGAGGUUCGAAUCCUCUCGUAUCCGCCA
rnacentral:tRNA from 1 species